rnacentral:rRNA from 1 species
UUUUGUUUGUUGGUACACAAGGCCAAGAUUAGCAUGCAUGUUCUAAGUAUAAGCAUUAUACCGUGAAACUGCGAAUGGCUCAUUAAAUCAGUUAUCGUUUAUUUGAUAGUACCUUACUACUUGGAUACCUGUGGUAAUUCUAGAGCUAAUACAUGCUAAAAACCCCGACUUCGGAAGGGGUGUAUUUAUUAGAUAAAAAACCAAUGCCUUUCGGGGCUCCUUUGGUGAUUCAUAAUAACUUCUCAGAUCGCAUGGCCUUGCGCCGGCGACGGUUCAUUCAAAUUUCUGCCCUAUCAACUUUCGAUGGUAAGGUAUUGGCUUACCAUGGUUUCUACGGGUAACGGGGAAUUAGGGUUCGAUUCCGGAGAGUUAGCCUGAGAAACGGCUAACACAUCCAAGGAAGGCAGCAGGCGCGCAAAUUACCCAAUCCUGAUACAGGGAGGUAGUGACAAUAAAUACUGAUACAGGGCUCUUUUGGGUCUUGUAAUCGGAAUGAGUACAAUUUAAACCUCUUAACGAGGAACAAUUGGAGGGCAAGUCUGGUGCCAGCAGCCGCGGUAAUUCCAGCUCCAAUAGCGUAUAUUAAAGUUGUUGCAGUUAAAAAGCUCGUAGUUGAACCUUUGGCCUGGCUGGCAGGUCCGCCUCACCGCGUGCACUUGUCCGGCCGGGCCUUUUCUUCUGGAGAACCGCAUGCCCUUCACUGGGUGUGUUGGGGACCAGGACUUUUACUUUGAAAAAAUUAGAGUGUUCAAAGCAGGCCUUUGCUCGAAUAUUACAGCAUGGAAUAAUAAAAUAGGACGUGCGGUUCUAUUUUGUUGGUUUCUAGGACCGCCGUAAUGAUUAAUAGGGACAGUCGGGGGCAUCAGUAUUCAAUUGUCAGAGGUGAAAUUCUUGGAUUUAUUGAAGACUAACUACUGCGAAAGCAUUUGCCAAGGAUGUUUUCAUUAAUCAGUGAACGAAAGUUAGGGGAUCGAAGACGAUCAGAUACCGUCGUAGUCUUAACCAUAAACUAUGCCGACUAGGGAUCGGGCGGUGUUAUUAUUUUGACUCGCUCGGCACCUUACGAGAAAUCAAAGUGUUUGGGGUUCUGGGGGGGGGAGUAUGGUCCCACUGCUGAAACUAG